UACCUCGAUCAGCCUGUCGCUGUUGAUGGCUCUUACGUCACCAAUCUCCCAUCAGAAACUCAUCGGGCUCAAAGAAGCCAAGAUUUCUCCCGCUGUAGGGCAGGAGUAUAUCGCUGGGCAAAAAUGCUACGGUUUUCCGAGAUUAUUGCGUGUUAACAACAGUUAUAUCUCUGUCUCCGUGCAAGGCGACGGUACAAUGAUUAUUAGCUUGUCAUAUUCAAAUAAACAUGCGUUAGAAAGAGAUUUCUGCGUAUUUUCGAACAGUUGACCUCUUUUCAACUUUUAUAAAACUGGUUUUAUAAAAGUAAUAUUUAUUCCUAUUGAUUUAUCUGAUUCUUAUUAUUACUGCCGUGAAAAUCACAUUCAUGUCCUAGCUCUCAUUUUAACUGUUCUUCCACUUUUCUUUAACAGUUUCUUCGACUGAGAUUCACUUGCAUUCACCGCAAUGCUUUUGCUGUUUUGUCGUGGUAUUUAUAUCAUUGUGCAUUAUUAGCUAAGAUACUUACAAAUCAGUGAUUUUUUUAAUUUUCUUUCUUUUUUGUUUGUAGCAGUACUUGCGGCAUUGUCCUCCAGAAUUAUUAAUGUUUGCUAUUCAGCAUAGUGAUGAAGUUCCCUUCAAAGUGUUGUUAGUGUGCACUUAAAAGGGAUUUAACGCUUUAUAUUACGGUGCCUGUGCUAAACAUAUAUUAAUAUACGUGAUUAUAUAAGUGUCUAUAUUAAUAUAAGUGAUUACAAGCAACAAAAAUAACAAUGUGUAUUUACAAGUUAAUAAAGGCGCAACUAAAUCCACUAAAUAAUUAGUACAUAUUAGAUAUAUGUUGUUCAUAGGUAUCAGUAAUUUCACUGUAACAUUAACACUGUAAUGUAAAGUGUAAACAAAAAAUAUAAUCUAGCAGAAAAAAAUAUCCAUGCUGAUCAUGCUGGGUUUCUCCAAACCCAGACUAGAGUGUGUCUUGGCAUGGUGAAUUACCCAGCUGUGCUCAUUCUAUGCUAAUGAACUGAAAUAAUUUUAGAUGAAUAGAUAUACAAACAGUUACAGUGUUUUCAAUUGAUGUGUUAGAGAAAUGCAUCUUACCCAGUGAAAAAUAAGUAAAACUAUUUAUUUACGCACUUUGUAUUUUAUUAACGUGCCAGAACACAUCAUUGGCAAGGCAAAUUUUGGUAGUAAACAUUAGUUAGUGUUGACAGGUCGGCGUAUGCUUGUGUGUAUGGGUGUGUGUUUUAUGCAUGUUAUUGUGCGUUUUAGGAAUAGUUAUUUAUAUUUAAUGUAUAAAUGUUUGUGUGUACCUAUCAUCCUAUUCAGUGUAGGACAUCUUAUUCUUUCGUAAAAGGCCAUGCUUGAAGGUAUGCCACGCAAGCACGAGCGUAAAGCUCAAGAUGCAAUGCCAACGCACUUUGAACGGUUCGUGUGGAGUCUGAACUGUGCCAUUUUCAGUCCUGGUUAAAGCUCUUUCAAUAGAAGAAAUGUUCAUGUUUGCCUUUCCUACUCAAGUUCAGUGGUUCUCUUAUUAAAUAAAUGACUGAAGAUGAUUGGAAAAUAUGAGCUGUGUAAAAAAUAUAAUAAUAGUGUCCUUGAAUGUAUGUCCUCACCCACUACAUGCAGUGAUAAGAAAAAUAUAUUUACAUUUUUAGUUUAUUAACUUAAUGUAUUUUAAGAGAGCAGCAUCAGACUGAGUGAUUAUAGAUUUUAUGCCUUUUAUGGUGUUUUAAACUGAUUCUCUAUCACUGCUUUUAUGUGUUGAUACUUUAUAGUAACUGAAGCAAAUGGAUUUGGUUCAUCUCUCUUAUAUGUUAUGAAAAAUAACCUCAGAUUUAUCCGCAUUUUUAGUCUAAUCUGCUAUUUACUGUAGUUGUUACGAUAGCCCUAUUUGCAUUAAAAUGCCUGGACAUGCUAUAAUGCACAUUAUAUGUUGUAGAAAUUCCUCAUGUCUCAAUAUUACGCUGUCUGCUUAAGGGAUCGCAGACGGAUGGUACAAGACUGGAACUGAAAAACCGAGGGAGAUUCGAGGUGAUGUUGCCGUUCUUCAAAAAGGACAAUCUUGCAAUCCACAGGUCAGAGGUCAGCAACACUCGCAUUUAGAAUAAAUGAAUGUUUCUGUCCAUUUUUUUAAAUAAUUAAAUUUUUUUGUAAAACUGUACACUGUUUACAAUUGCACAUGAAGCCAUCCAGCGAUGAUCGCUUGGGUAUUAACGUCAGUACUGCUAAAAAUAAUAACUCUGCACUUAAACACGGCAACUUAAAUAGUGGUAAUAAUACUCCAGAACGGCUCUGUGGCGUAACCUUACGUCUGUGAUCAUGAUCACAGCCAUUUUACAUGCCAACACCACUGCAAUUAUGUUUAUUAAAACUAAUGUUGCUACAUCUCUACAAUCACCUUUAUGUUUUGAAAUAUAUACAGUAUUACAAUUACAGUUCUGGAUCGUUGGAACAGCCAACGAUUCUUAUGCUUUUGUGGUACUGCUAAUUAUUAUUUAUUUUUUACAUUUUAAUAUAUUACGCCAGUACAUAUAUGUGUGUUUUUCACUGUUUAAGUAAUAACUGUUUAUUAAGCUAAUUCUUAUUCUAUUGUUUGAAAUAAAAUAGAAACAAUUUGCUGAUUCAUUUAUUUGCUGUUCUUAUAUAAUCAUGCAAAUAAAGGACAAUGGACAAAG